UGGAAGUCGAACGGAGAAUUUAUUUCGGUAAAUUCUUAGUGGCGAACGGGUGAGUAACGCGUAGGCAACCUGCCCUUUGGAUGGGGACAACAUUCCGAAAGGAGUGCUAAUACCGAAUGUGAUCCAUCUCUCGCAUGAGAGAUGGAUGAAAGAUGGCCUCUAUUUAUAAGCUAUCGCCAAAGGAUGGGCCUGCGUCUGAUUAGUUAGUUGGUGGGGUAACGGCUCACCAAGACGAUGAUCAGUAGCCGGUCUGAGAGGAUGAACGGCCACAUUGGGACUGAGACACGGCCCAAACUCCUACGGGAGGCAGCAGUGGGGAAUCUUCCGCAAUGGACGAAAGUCUGACGGAGCAACGCCGCGUGAGUGAUGAAGGUUUUCGGACUGUAAAACUCUGUUGUCAGGGACGAAGGUGCGAUCUGCGAAUAGUUGAUCGUAUUGACGGUACCUGACGAGGAAGCCACGGCUAACUACGUGCCAGCAGCCGCGGUAAUACGUAGGUGGCAAGCGUUGUCCGGAAUUAUUGGGCGUAAAGAGCAUGUAGGUGGGCUUUUAAGUCCGAUGUGAAAAUGCGGGGCUCAACCCCGUAUGGCAUUGGAUACUGGAAGUCUUGAGUG
rnacentral:rRNA from 1 species